CUUUCAUCGCGAUUUAAGAAAUAACUCAAGGAAACCGUAGUCGAGAUUCCUUGCUGUAUCGUAUUCUUUGCUACCAUAAGCUAUAGAAAAUUUAUCAUUUUUGAAAUAUGGAGAAUUGGCGCAGAAUUGAAAAUAUGGUCUAACAAUUCUGACAAUUCAAAUAUUUCAAAGAGAGAUGCCGUAGAUUAAAUUCUUCAAUUACCAACCACGUCGUUCAUCGCAUAGUUUCUCUAUAGUAAUUGAAAGUUUUUGCUGUUUUACUUCCUCUCUCUUCUUCUACGUCAUAAAACUUGGAGAAAAUCGAAGAGGGUUUCGUGUAACACGAAUUAACAACUAAUCGCUCCAUCUUCGUAAUUUCUAUACCUUUAAACUAAUUUGGAACGAGCCUUUUAAAUAUCCGAUCUUGAGGGAAAGUUCAUCGAUAUUUUUAAGAAAUCAAUUUUAACUGGACUGACCUCGUCGAAGCUUCCGAUGGAAUUUGGUGAUGACAUUUUCGCAACUCGAAUUAUCACCAUCGCAUACACCGCAGAUAUCGAACACUUUUUUCGAUCCUAAAACGUGAUCGCAUCCCAUUUCAUGGCACUCACCCUGAAGAAAGAAAUAUUUUAUUAAAUAAUCAUAAAUACAGUUAAUCAUAUAAUAGAACGAUUCUAUUAGUGUGGUAGAUCUUAGAUUAUAAUAUAUGUAUGAUAAAUAUGUAUUAAGAAAAGAAAAUAACAAUGUUAAUUAAAUAAUGUUAAUCGGAAUCGUUUAGUUGAAGCACAGACAAAGAUAAUAGAUAAUCAGAAAAGGACAGAAAUAGGAUAAAAAUAUUGAAAUCAGCGCCAUCUCCAGAGUGCCGCAAAUGAAACACAUAG